rnacentral:rRNA from 1 species
AGAGUUUGAUCCUGGCUCAGGACGAACGCUGGCGGCGGGCUUCAUACAUGCAAGUCGAACGAGAACGUGUCCUACGGGGCGCUAGUACAGUGGCGCACGGGUGAGUAACGCGUAGGCAACCUGCCCUCGAGUGGGGAAUAACCUUCGGAAACGAUGGCUAAUACCGCAUGAAGUUCUGCACCGCAUGGUGCAGCAUGAAAGUUUUUAACGCUCGGGGAUGGGCCUGCGUCGGAUUAGUUAGUAGGUAAGGUAACGGCUUACCUAGACAACGAUCCGUAGCUGGUCUGAGAGGACGAUCAGUCACACUGGCACUGAGACACGGGCCAGACUUCUACGGAAGGCAGCAGUAGGGAAUCUUGGGCAAUGGGCGCAAGCCUGACCCAGCCACGCCGCGUGGAGGAUGACACCCUUAUGGGGCGUAAACUCCUUUUAUACGGAAAGAAAGCUUUCCUCGGGAAAGCCUGACGGUACCGUAUGAAUAAGCACCGGCUAACUCCGUGCCAGCAGCCGCGGUAAUACGGAGGGUGCAAGCGUUGUCCGGAUUCACUGGGUGUAAAGGGUGUGUAGGCGGGACAGUAUGUCAGAGGUGAAAGCCCACGGCUUAACCGUGGAAUUGCCUUUGAAACUGCUGUUCUUGAGUCUCGGAGAGGUCGCUGGAAUUCGUGGUGUAGCGGUGAAAUGCGUAGAUAUCACGAGGAACACCAGAGGCGUGGCGGGCGACUGGACGAGAACUGACGCUGAGGCAC